rnacentral:rRNA from 1 species
UACAGAGGUCUCAAGCGUUUGUUCGGGAUUCAUUGGGGCGUAAAGGGUGCGGUAGGCGGCGCGGUAAGUCGGGUGUGAAAUCUCGGAGCUUAACUCCGAAACUGCAUUCGAUACUGCCGUGCUUGAGGACUGGAGAGGAGACUGGAAUUUACGGUGUAGCGGUGAAAUGCGUAGAGAUCAUGAGGAAGACCAGUGGCGAAGGCGGGUCUCUGGACAGUUCCUGACAGCUG